CCUACGGGUGGCAGCAGUGGGGGAUAUUGCACAAUGGGGGGAACCCUGAUGCAGCGACGCCGCGUGGGUGAAGAAGCGCCUCGGCGCGUAAAGCCCUGUCAGCAGGGAAGAAAAUGACGGUACCUGAAGAAGAAGCCCUGGCUAACUACGUGCCAGCAGCCGCGGUAAUACGUAGGGGGCAAGCGUUAUCCGGAUUUACUGGGUGUAAAGGGCGUGUAGGCGGGCAUGCAAGCCAGAAGUGAAAUCUGGGGGCUUAACCCCCAAACUGCUUUUGGAACUGCGUGUCUUGAGUGAUGGAGAGGCAGGCGGAAUUCCCAGUGUAGCGGUGAAAUGCGUAGAUAUUGGGAGGAACACCAGUGGCGAAGGCGGCCUGCUGGACAUUAACUGACGCUGAGGCGCGAAAGCGUGGGGAGCAAACAGGAUUAGAUACCCGGGUAGUC
rnacentral:rRNA from 1 species